AGGAUGAACGCUGGCGGCGUGCCUAACACAUGCAAGUCGAACGUCCUGUCUCGCAAGAGGCAGGGAGUGGCGGACGGGUGAGUACCACGUGGGUUAUCUACCGUGAGGUGAGGAAUACCGGCGAGAAAUCGCCGACAAGACCGCAUAGCCUCGGUGCAAGCCGAGCAAAGCUCUUUCGAGAGAGGGAGCGCCACACGAGGAGCCUGCGCCCGAUUAGCUAGCUGGUGGAGUAACGGUUCACCAGGGCGACGAUCGGUAGCUGGUCUGAGAGGACGAUCAGCCACACUGGGAUUGAGAACGGCCCAGACUCCUACGGGGGGCAGCAGUGAGGAAUUUUCGUCAAUGGGGCAACCUGAACGAGCAACGCCGCGUGCAGGAAGAAGGUUUUCGGAUCGUAAACUGCUUUUCGUCGGGAAGAGAAUGGACGGUACCGAGGAAUCAGCCCCGGCUAACUACGUGCCAGUAGCCGC
rnacentral:rRNA from 1 species